ACCCUUAUAGUCUAGUGGUUAAGGACAACACUUUUUCAUGGUGUGAACACGGGUUCAAAUCCCGUUGAGGGUA
rnacentral:tRNA from 1 species